AACGCGAAGAACCUUACCUGGGCUCGAAAUGUAGUGGACCGGGGUGGAAACAUCCCUUCCCGCAAGGGCUGCUAUAUAGGUGCUGCAUGGCUGUCGUCAGCUCGUGUCGUGAGAUGUUGGGUUAAGUCCCGCAACGAGCGCAACCCUUACCACUAGUUGCCAGCAUUUAGUUGGGCACUCUAGCGGAACUGCCGGUGAUAAACCGGAGGAAGGUGGGGAUGACGUCAAGUCAUCAUGGCCUUUAUGUCCAGGGCCACACACGUGCUACAAUGGCCGGUACAAACCGCUGCAAACUCGCGAGAGGGAGCCAAUCGGAAAAAGCCGGUCUCAGUUCGGAUUGGAGUCUGCAACUCGACUCCAUGAAGUUGGAAUCGCUAGUAAUCGCGGAUCAGCACGCUGCGGUGAAUACGUUCCCGGGCCUUGUACACACCGAGUAUA
rnacentral:rRNA from 1 species